UGAGUACGAGAUGCUACGGCAUUGAAGCAGUCUAUGUCAUACUUCCAAGAAAAGCUUGCACUGUCAUAAACAAAGAAUGCCUGUACCAUAACCGACACAGGUGGGUAGGUAGAGUAUACUAAGGGGCGCGAGAUAACUCUCUCUAAGGAACUCGGCAAAAUGACUCCGUAACUUCGGGAGAAGGAGUGCCUUAUUUUUAAGGUUGCAAUAACAAGAUCCAAGCAACUGUUUAUCAAAAACACAGGUCUCCGCUAAGUCGUAAGACGAUGUAUGGGGGCUGACGCCUGCCCAGUGCCAGAAGGUUAAAGAAGUUGGUUAGCAUUCGCGAAGCUGAUAACUGAAGCCCUGGUGAACGGCGGCCGUAACUAUAACGGUCCUAAGGUAGCGAAAUUCCUUGUCGGGUAAGUUCCGACCCGCACGAAAGGCGUAAUGAUUUGGAUACUGUCUCGGAGAGGGACUCGGUGAAAUAGACUUGUCUGUGAAGAUGCGGACUACCUGCACCUGGACAGAAAGACCCUAUGAAGCUUUACUGUAACUUGAAAUUGAAAUUGGACUUUAGUUGCGCAGGAUAGGUGGGAGGCGUUGAGAAUAUUCUUGCGGGAGUAUUGGAGCCAUCAGUGAGAUACCACUCUUCUAAUGUUAGAUUUCUAACUUUAUAUCAUUAUCUGGUCAGAGAACAGUUUCAGGCGGGCAGUUUGACUGGGGCGGUCGCCUCCUAAAGGGUAACGGAGGCGCACAAAGGUUUCCUCUGAACGGGUAGAAAUCGUAUCUAGAGUGUAAAGGCAUAAGGAAGCUUGACUGUGAGACCUACAAGUCGAGCAGGGACGAAAGUCGGUCUUAGUGAUCUGACGGUGCUGAGUGGAAAGGCCGUCACUCAACGGAUAAAAGUUACUCUAGGAUAACAGGCUGAUCUCCCCCAAGAGUUCACAUCGACGGGGAGGUUUGGCACCUCGAUGUCGGCUCAUCGCAUCCUGGGGCGGUAGUACGUCCCAAGGGUUGGGCUGUUCGCCCAUGAAAGCGGUACGCGAGCUGGGUACAGAACGUCGUGAGACAGUUCGGUCCAUAUCCGGUGUAGGCGUUAGAAUAUUGAGAGGAGCCUUCUCUAGUACGAGAGGACCGAGAAGGACAUACCUCUAGUGUACCAGUUAUCGUGCCAACGGUAAACGCUGGGUAGCUAUGUAUGGAGUGGAUAACCGCUGAAAGCAUCUAAGUGGGAAGCCCACCUCAAGAUAAG
rnacentral:rRNA from 1 species